rnacentral:rRNA from 1 species
UGCUUUUGUGGGGUGCUCGAGUGGCGAACGGGUGGGUAACACGUGAGUAACCUGCCCUUGACUUUGGGAUAACUUCAGGAAACUGGGGCUAAUACCGGAUAGGAGCUCCUGCUGCAUGGUGGGGGUUGGAAAGUUUCGGCGGUUGGGGAUGGACUCGCGGCUUAUCAGCUUGUUGGUGGGGUAGUGGCUUACCAAGGCUUUGACGGGUAGCCGGCCUGAGAGGGUGACCGGCCACAUUGGGACUGAGAUACGGCCCAG